AUUUUUUUUUUUUUUCUUUUCAGUUAACUGCAGAAACAACAUGCUUGAAGACAAAUAUAACAUUUCAGAAUAACAUGCUUGAAGACAAAUAUAACAUUUCAGGUUCUGCUAUGAAAAGUAAUAGCGAAAUUCAUGCAAUCAUCCAAAUCAGUCAGUAACUUUCCAAGGCAGCACUGGGAGAAACACAUUAAAAAAAUGUAGAAGAGGAUGGUUUGCAACUUGGUGGGUGGCCCUAAUGCCAGGAUCCCACUGGAGCAUCUGAAUCACGGGAGGCCAUUCCUCACUCCCAUGACACUUGGCUGAGUUAAGCUGAACUGGCUGUUACGAGCGUGACCCACGUUGCUUCCUCCAGGAACGAGGAGCUCGCCUUGCCAAGAGGAGCUCUCCUCACUGUGCAUCUCUCCAAAAUGGGACAAAUCCGUGUCAGGUAGCCCAGCAGCUGCAACAGGAGCUGAGCACGUCAAAGGGCUAGAGACCCACUUUCUAUCUGAGAGCAACAAGACCUUUUAACCACUUCUUAUUUUAUGGAUAAACUUACAAUGAUUCCUCAAAGCUAUUUGCCAGAAGAAAUGAAAUACUAAAGAAGAGCUAAGAGGCAGAAGCAAACCUGCAUUCUUUUAGGUUUCUGAACUACUCUGUUCAGAUAAAACAUCUGCUUAAGUGCCUGCUUGUUAUAUCAUUAUGCUCAACUUUUUUUCUGACUGUUAUUCAU
rnacentral:lncRNA from 1 species